rnacentral:misc_RNA from 2 species
AAGUCGUAACAAGGUUUCCGUAGGUGAACCUGCGGAAGGAUCACUAGUGAUUAAAUCGAGCGUGUCUUCAUUGACCGCUCACCCUUCUCACCAUCCACAUACACCUGUGCACUGUUUAGCCUGAGCCGGUUUUCCGGUCCAGGUUAUCAUUUCAUACAAACUCUAGUCUUAUGAAUGUAAACGUUUUAAUAACAUAAUAAAACUUUCAACAACGGAUCUCUUGGUUCUC